rnacentral:rRNA from 1 species
GUUUUAAAAAUAAAAAAAGAAGUUAACUUUUAAGUGAAAAGGCUUAAGUUUUUAUAAAAGACGAGAAGACCCCGUCGAGCUUAAUUAGAAUAACUUAAAUGUAGGUUAUUUAAAAUUUUAUUGGGGCAAUAGAAAAUGAAAUGAAUCAUUUUUUUUAUUAUAAGGAUCCAGUUUUGACUGAAAAAAGCAAAAGCUACCGCGGGGAUAACAGGGUAAUUUUUUCUGAGAGUUCAUAUUUAAGAAGAAGUUUGCUACCUCGAUGUUGGAUUAGAAUUUCUUUAUGCUUGCAGCAGGUAUAAUAGUAGGACUGUUCGUCCUUUAAAAUUUUACAUGAUCUGAGUUCAGACCGGUGUAAACUAGGUCGGUUUCUAUCUUUAUUUAAAAAAACUUUUGUACGAAAGGAUCAAGUUUU